UCUGACAUCAGUCUAUUAGCAAUCUCUUCAACGGUAGACGUGUACAAUUAAGCACAUCUAUUGGGUUGCUUACAAAUAAGAGUUCGUUCUGUAGUGGUUAGAAUUAUAAACGGACACUAAAUCUUCGAGCUGAACUGAACUGCAACUAGCGUGUUCUGCUUCCAGGAUUAAUCCGAGUUCUAAUCACCACGUACACAUCAUAAAACCUAUUUUUUCAACAUUUCUAUUUUUAAGACCGCUGUAACUUCACAAGGAUUGGACUUAGGA